GGCUACCUGGCGCAAUGGUAGCGCGUUUGGCUUCGAGCGCCAACGGCUAUCAGGCAUUACCUGUCUGUUUACGUCAGCGACCAAAAGGUUGCAGGUUCGAGUCCUGCGGUGGUCA